AAGAAGACAAAUCCUGGGUUUCCGUGUCCAACAUUUGACUGUUCGUCUUAUAUGAACUUUUUUUUAAAUUAGUAUUUUCAUUGUUGUUAGAUGAUAAAACAUGAUUAAUACUUUAUGCGUGACUUGUCUUUUUAAUUUUUUUCAUAAUUUUUUUAAACGGACGGUCAAAAGUUGGACACGGAAACCCAUGGUUUGUCUUUUU
rfam:Oryza rufipogon genomic scaffold, chr06